rnacentral:snRNA from 1 species
GGAUGUGAGGGUGAUCUGGCUGCAACAUCUGUCACCCCAUUGAUCGCCAGGGGUUGACCCCGCUGAUCUGGCUGGCUGGGCGGGUGUCCCCUUCCUCCCUCAACGCUCCAUGUACCUCCCUCCCAAAGCUGCACGCUCGGUCGAAAAGGACGACCACCCCCGAUAGGGGAGGACCGUUCCUUGGUCAAAGGCAUAUGAGUAGCUGUGCUCCCCUCCUAGACCUUCCAAACAAGCUCUCAAAAUAAUGUUUUAACUCUUUGAUUAAGGUAGCACUGAGUCUAUGUCUCAAUGUAGGAGUAAUUGACACCAAUAUUG